rnacentral:rRNA from 1 species
UACGUAGGGGGCAAGCGUUGUCCGGAAUCAUUGGGCGUAAAGAGCGUGUAGGCGGCUCGUUAAGUCGGCUGUGAAAGUCCAGGGCUCAACCCUGGAAUGCCAGUGGAAACUGUCGGGCUGGAGUCCGGAAGAGGCGAGUGGAAUUCCUGGUGUAGCGGUGAAAUGCGCAGAUAUCAGGAGGAACACCCGUGGCGAAGGCGGCUCUCUGGUACGUGACUGAUGCUGAGACGCGAAAGCGUGGGGAGCAAACAGG